AAUAAACGAAUUUCUGUGUUUUUUUUGAAUUUUUGACUUUCGUCUUAUUUGAAAUUUUUUUAUAAUUAAUAUUUUUUAUUGUUACUACAUGAUAGAACAUAAAUAAUAUUUUACGUGUGACUAAUUUUUUUUAAUUUUUCAAUAAAAUUUUUAAAUAAGACGGAUGGUCAAACGUUUGACCUAAAAGCCUAGAAAUCCUCUUUUU
rnacentral:pre_miRNA from 1 species